UACGUAGGGUGCAAGCGUUGUCCGGAAUUAUUGGGCGUAAAGAGCUCGUAGGCGGUUUGUUGCGUCGGCUGUGAAAACCUGAGGCUCAACCUCAGGCCUGCAGUCGAUACGAGCAGACUAGAGUGUUGCAGGGGAGACUGGAAUUCCUGGUGUAGCGGUGAAAUGCGCAGAUAUCAGGAAGAACACCCGUGGCGAAGGCGGUUCUCUGGAACGCAACUGACGCUGAGACGCGAAAGCGUGGGGAGCAAACAGG
rnacentral:rRNA from 1 species